rnacentral:rRNA from 1 species
CAACAGGGAUUACCUCAGUAACGGCGAGUGAAGCGGUAACAGCUCAAAUUUGAAAGCUAGCUCUUUUAGGGUUCGCAUUGUAAUUUGUAGAAGAUGCUUCGGGUGUGGCCCCGGUCUAAGUUCCUUGGAACAGGACGUCAUAGAGGGUGAGAAUCCCGUAUGUGACUGGGUGCUUUCGCUCAUGUGAAGCUCUUUCGACGAGUCGAGUUGUUUGGGAAUGCAGCUCAAAAUGGGUGGUAAAUUUCAUCUAAAGCUAAAUAUUGGCCAGAGACCGAUAGCGCACAAGUAGAGUGAUCGAAAGAUGAAAAGCACUUUGGAAAGAGAGUUAAACAGUACGUGAAAUUGUUGAAAGGGAAGCGCUUGCAACCAGACUUGCGCGCUGAUGAUCAUCCGGGCUUCUGCCCGGUGCACUCGUCUGCGCUCAGGCCAGCAUCGGUUUCGGUGGUGGGAUAAAGGCCUUGGGAAUGUAGCUCCUCUCGGGGAGUGUUAUAGCCCUCGGUGCAAUGCCGCCUACCGGGACCGAGGACCGCGCUUCGGCUAGGAUGCUGGCGUAAUGGUUGUAAGCGACCCGUCUUGAAACACGGACCAAGGAGUCUAACAUCUAUGCGAGUGUUUGGGUGUCAAACCCAUACGCGUAAUGAAAGUGAACGGAGGUGAGAACCCUUAAGGGUGCAUCAUCGACCGAUCCUGAUGUCUUCGGAUGGAUUUGAGUAAGAGCAUAGCUGUUGGGACCCGAAAGAUGGUGAACUAUGCGUGAAUAGGGUGAAGCCAGAGGAAACUCUGGUGGAGGCUCGCAGCGGUUCUGACGUGCAAAUCGAUCGUCAAAUUUGCGUAUA